AACGAACGCUGGCGGCAGGCCUAACACAUGCAAGUCGAGCGCGCCCCUUCGGGGUGAGCGGCGGACGGGUGAGUAACGCGUGGGAACGUGCCCUUUGCUACGGAAUAGUCUCGGGAAACUGGGGGUAAUACCGUAUGAGCCCUUCGGGGGAAAGAUUUAUCGGCAAAGGAUCGGCCCGCGUUGGAUUAGGUAGUUGGUGGGGUAAUGGCUCACCAAGCCGACGAUCCAUAGCUGGUUUGAGAGGAUGAUCAGCCACACUGGGACUGAGACACGGCCCAGACUCCUACGGGAGGCAGCAGUGGGGAAUCUUAGACAAUGGGCGCAAGCCUGAUCUAGCCAUGCCGCGUGAGCGAUGAAGGCCUUAGGGUUGUAAAGCUCUUUCGUGGGGGAAGAUAAUGACUGUACCCCAAGAAGAAGCCCCGGCUAACUCCGUG
rnacentral:rRNA from 1 species